rnacentral:lncRNA from 10 species
CUUUGAGAUCUUUUGUUUAAAACAACAACAAAAAAAGAGCCACCUGGCUACUUUUUUAGCUCUGGAAUUUUCCCCAGGUGGGCUAUUAACAUGACAGAGUGGAGGAAGGGAAUAUCUAGCUGGUGAUGGUUUAUUUUCUGUCUUCUUUAUAGAUCAUUUCGGUGGGGCCUGUAACAUAUAUUAAGCCAUGCGCUUCUUUUACAGCUUUUUAACAUGAUCUUCACACAUACUUUCCUGACUGAAUGGUGCCCCACCCUCACCAAAAUAUGUGUUCACAUCUGAAUCCCUAAAACCUGUGAAUGUAACCUUAUUUGGAAAAGGAUCUUUGCAGAGGUAAUUAAGUUAAGGUUCUUGAGAUAAGAUCAUCCUGGAUUACCUGUGUGGACCAUAAAUCCAACAGGUAUCCUUACAAGAGACAGAAGAGAAGACACAGGCACACAGAGGAGAAGGUCAUGUGGAGAUAAAGGCAGAGAUUGGAGUGAUGCAGCUACAAGCCGAGGAACACCUAGCACCACCAGAAGCUGGAAGAGGGUUGCCCAGGCUGGAGUGUGGUUGCUAUUCAUGGGUGAGAUCAUCAAAGUGCAGCCUAAAGCUCUUAGGCUCAAGUGAUCCUCCUGCCUCAGCCUCCCAAGUUACUGGGAUUACAGGCAUGUACCACCACGCUUGGCUUCUAAACAUUUGUAUUGUUGUAAAAUAUAACAUAAAAU